UUGAACGCUGGCGGCAUGCUUUACACAUGCAAGUCGAACGGCAGCGGGGGCUUCGGCCUGCCGGCGAGUGGCGAACGGGUGAGUAAUGCAUCGGAACGUACCCAGUCGUGGGGGAUAACUACGCGAAAGCGUAGCUAAUACCGCAUACGCCCUGAGGGGGAAAGCGGGGGACCUUCGGGCCUCGCGCGAUUGGAGCGGCUGAUGUCGGAUUAGCUAGUUGGUGGGGUAAAGGCCUACCAAGGCGACGAUCCGUAGCUGGUCUGAGAGGACGACCAGCCACACUGGAACUGAGACACGGUCCAGACUCCUACGGGAGGCAGCAGUGGGGAAUUUUGGACAAUGGGCGCAAGCCUGAUCCAGCCAUGCCGCGUGAGUGAAGAAGGCCUUCGGGUUGUAAAGCUCUUUCAGCCGGAAGGAAAACGCACGGGUUAAUACCCUGUGUGGAUGACGGUACCGGAAGAAGAAGCACCGGCUAACUACGU
rnacentral:rRNA from 1 species